rnacentral:tRNA from 1 species
CCCCGUGUGGCUCAGUUGGUAGAGCAUGGUGCUUGCAACAUCCAGGUUGUGGUUUCUAUUCCCAUGGGGA